rnacentral:rRNA from 1 species
CCUACGGGGCGCAGCAGUAGGGAAUUUUCGUCAAUGGGCGCAAGCCUGAACGAGCAAUGCCGCGUGAACGAGGAAGGUCUUCGGAUCGUAAAGUUCUGUUGAAGGGGAAAAAGAGCGGAGAGAGGAAAUGGUCUCCGAUUGAUAUUACCCUUCGAGGAAGUCACGGCUAACUACGUGCCAGCAGCCGCGGUAAUACGGAAGGUCCGGGCGUUAUCCGGAUUUAUUGGGUUUAAAGGGAGCGUAGGCCGCAUGUCAAGCGUGCUGUGAAAUGUCCGGGCUCAACCCGGGCCUUGCAGCGCGAACUG